rnacentral:rRNA from 1 species
AGCGAACGCUGGCGGCAGGCUUAACACAUGCGAGUCGAGCGGGCCCUUCGGGGUCAGCGGCAGACGGGUGAGUAACGCGUGGGAACGUGCCCUUCGGUUCGGAAUAACUCAGGGAAACUUGAGCUAAUACCGGAUACGCCCUUAUGGGGAAUGGUUUACUGCCGAAGGAUCGGCCCGCGUCUGAUUAGCUAGUUGGUGAGGUUAUGGCUCACCAAGGCGACGAUCAGUAGCUGGUCUGAGAGGAUGAUCAGCCACACUGGGACUGAGACACGGCCCAGACUCCUACGGGAGGCAGCAGUGGGGAAUAUUGGACAAUGGGGGCAACCCUGAUCCAGCCAUGCCGCGUGAGUGAUGACGGCCUUAGGGUUGUAAAGCUCUUUUCUCCGGGACGAUAAUGACGGUACCGGAGGAAUAAGCCCCGGCUAACUUCGUG